CAGCAGCCGCGGUAAUACGUAGGUGGCGAGCGUUGUCCGGAAUUAUUGGGCGUAAAGGGAGCGCAGGCGGACAUAUAAGUCCAUCUUAAAAGUGCGGGGCUCAACCCCGUGAGGGGAUGGAAACUGUAUGCCUUGAGUGCAGGAGAGGAAAGCGGAAUUCCCAGUGUAGCGGUGAAAUGCGUAGAUAUUGGGAGGAACACCAGUGGCGAAGGCGGCUUUCUGGACUGUAACUGACGCUGAGGCUCGAAAGCCGGGGGAGCGAACGGGAUUAGAUACCCCAGUAGUCCCUGUCUCUUAUACA
rnacentral:rRNA from 1 species